rnacentral:piRNA from 1 species
UGAAACGUAACUCGGGCGGAUUUAGGC